rnacentral:rRNA from 1 species
AACGAACGCUGGCGGCAUGCUUAACACAUGCAAGUCGAACGGUAGGUAGGUGCUUGCAUCUACUGAGAGUGGCAGACGGGUGAGUAACGCGUGGGAACGUACCUUUUGGUCUGGGAUAACAGUUGGAAACGACUGCUAAUACCGGAUAUACCCUAAGGGGGAAAGAUUUAUUGCCGAAAGAGCGGCCCGCGUUAGAUUAGGUAGUUGGAGUGGUAAGAGCACCCCAAGCCGAUGAUCUAUAGCUGGUUUGAGAGGAUGAUCAGCCACACUGGGACUGAGACACGGCCCAG